GCCCGGGUGGCUCAGUCGGUUGAGCAUCCGACUUCAGCUCAGGUCACGAUCCCGCGGUCCAUGAGUUCGAGCCCCUUGUCGGGCU
rnacentral:tRNA from 1 species